rnacentral:rRNA from 1 species
UACGGAGGAUGCAAGCGUUAUCCGGAAUGAUUGGGCGUAAAGCGUCCGCAGGUGGCUGUGUAAGUCUGCUGUUAAAGAGUCUAGCUCAACUAGAUACAAGCAGUGGAAACUACACGGCUAGAGUACGUUCGGGGCAGAGGGAAUUCCUGGUGUAGCGGUGAAAUGCGCAGAUAUCAGGAAGAACACCCGUGGCGAAGGCGGCUCUCUGGGACGGUACUGACGCUGAGACGCGAAAGCGUGGGGAGCGAACAGG